rnacentral:rRNA from 1 species
GAAUUCGAUUACCUGGUCGAUUCUGCCGGACCCGACUGCUAUCAGAGUGGGACUAAGCCAUGCGAGUCAACAUAGCAAUAUGUGGCAUACGGCUCAGUAACACGUAGUCAACAUGCCCAGGGGACGUGGAUAACCUCGGGAAACUGAGGAUAAACCGCGAUAAGUCACUACUUCUGGAAUGGGUAAUGACUUAAAUCUAUAUGGCCCCUGGAUUGGACUGCGGCCGAUCAGGCUGUUGGUGAGGUAAUGGCCCACCAAACCUGUAACCGGUACGGGCUCUGAGAGGAGGAGCCCGGGGAUGGGCACUGAGACAAGGGCCCAGGCCCUAUGGGGCGCAGCAGGCGCGAAACCUCUGCAAUAGGCGAAAGCCUGACAGGGUUACUCUGAGUGAUUUCCGUUAAGGAGAUCUUUUGGCAUCUCUAAAAAUGGUGCAGAAUAAGGGGUGGGCAAGUCUGGUGUCAGCCGCCGCGGUAAUACCAGCACCCCGAGUGGUCGGGACGUUUAUUGGGCCUAAAGCAUCCGUAGCCGGUUCUGCAAGUCUUCCGUUAAAUCCACCUGCUUAACAGAUGGGCCGCGGAAGAUACUAUAGAGCUAGGAGGCGGGAGAGGCAAGCGGUACUCGAUGGGUAGGGGUAAAAUCCGUUGAUCCAUUGAAGACCACCAGUGGCGAAGGCGGCUUGCCAGAACGCGCUCGACGGUGAGGGAUGAAAGCUGGGGGAGCAAACCGGAUUAGAUACCCGGGUAGUCCCAGCUGUAAACGAUGCAGACUCGGUGAUGAAUUGGCUUUAUGCCUAUUCAGUGCCGCAGGGAAGCCGUUAAGUUUGCCGCCUGGGGAGUACGGUCGCAAGACUGAAACUUAAAWGAAUUGGCGGGGGAGCACCACAAGGGGUGAAGCCUGCGGUUCAAUUGGAUUCAACGCCGGA